GACGAACGCUGGCGGCGUGCUUAACACAUGCAAGUCGAACGAAGAGCGAUGGACGCUUGCUUCUAUCAAUCUUAGUGGCGAACGGGUGAGUAACGCGUAAUCAACCUGCCCUUCAGAGGGGGACAACAGUUGGAAACGACUGCUAAUACCGCAUACGAUCUAAUCUCGGCAUCGAGGAUAGAUGAAAGGUGGCCUCUACAUGUAAGCUAUCACUGAAGGAGGGGAUUGCGUCUGAUUAGCUAGUUGGAGGGGUAACGGCCCACCAAGGCGAUGAUCAGUAGCCGGUCUGAGAGGAUGAACGGCCACAUUGGGACUGGGACACGGCCCAGACUCCUACGGGAGGCAGCAGUGGGGAAUCUUCUGCAAUGGACGAAAGUCUGACGGAGCAACGCCGCGUGAGUGAUGACGGCCUUCGGGUUGUAAAGCUCUGUUAAUCGGGACGAAAGGCCUUCUUGCGAACAGUUAGAAGGAUUGACGGUACCGGAAUAGAAAGCCACGGCUAACUACGUG
rnacentral:rRNA from 1 species